CCCUUAGAUGUUCUGGGCCGCACACGCGCUACACUGAAGGAGGCAGCGUGUACUCCUGGAUCGAAAGAUUUGGGUAACCCGCGAAUCUCCUUCGUGCUAGGGAUUGAGGUUUGCAAUUAUCCUUCAUGAACGAGGAAUUCCCAGUAAGUGCAAGUCAUAAGCUUGCGCUGACUACGUCCCUGCCCUUUGUACACACCGCACGUCGCUACUACCGAUUGAAUGAUUUAGUGAGGACUUCGGACUGGGACCGAUGCGGCUUUCGGGCUGCGUCGGUAUUCUGGAAAGAUGUCCAAACUGUAUCAUUUAGAGGAAGUAAAANUCGUAACA
rnacentral:rRNA from 1 species